UUAAAUUGUAAAAAUUUAUUCUUGAUUAGUAUUAGUUAUGUUCUUUAAAAUUAAAAAAUUUGGCGGUAUUUUAUUCAAUUCAGAGGAACCUGUCCUGUAAUUGAUAAUCCACGAUUAAAUAAAUUUAUUUUUUUAGCUUGUAUAUCGUUGUUUAUGAAUUUCUUUACAAGGAAAAUUUUCUUUUAUUUUUAUUAAAACAAAUUUCAGAUCAAGGUGCAGCUUAUAAAUAAAUAGAGAUGGGUUACAAUAAAUAUAUUUUUGUUUAUUUAAUUUUAAUAUUAAAUUUAAAUUGGAUUUGAAAGUAAUUAUAAAUAUAUUUUUAUAAUGAUUUUGUUCUAAAAUAUGU
rnacentral:rRNA from 1 species